rnacentral:lncRNA from 1 species
AUUCAUUCAUUUAUUCAUCAUACAAUAAUAUAGACUUCAAUACAACUUGAAAAGCAUAUUAAAACGGAUGGUUUUGUGAAAUAAAUACAUUGUAAUGGUAUGAGUGGCAUGAAAAACUGUAUUCUAAGUUCAUUAACUGAUAUAUAAUAUAUAUAAAUUUAUAUUUUUGACAUUGAGUAUAUAAAUUUCUUUUUUUGCAAUUAAACACACACCAACUUUAUAUGUUAAAAUAGUAAAGUUUACUCACAAAUUUCUAAUAAUUACUUAUUAGAAGUAAAAAUAAUAAUACAACAGAAAGACAACCAUAUACCAUUAGAUGUUGUUUUCAAUCAUAUGAAGUCAAAAAUUCAGAGAAACCUCUGUCUUAACAUUUUACAGUUCAUACAGGUCAACGAGAAAAUAUGAAUACAAUUAUGAUGCUAACAUCACCCUGCUCACUCACUUCUUUUAAGUUUCAUAUCACAGCUUUGAGACAUGAUCAGAAAUAGCAUGAUAAACAGAUUAUCAGGUUUUCUGAGUAAAGAUAUUGUAUAUUGUAUAUAUGAGCAGAACUUUAAAGUAAUGUCACAAUUUAGGAGAAUACGUUUUGUAAAUUGUCUUUAAAAGGUGAAUAAGACCAGAAAUAGCAUGAUAAAUAGAUUAUUAGGUUUCCUGAGAAAAGAUAUUGUAAAAUAUAAGUCAUUUUUGAUAGUUCCCUACCUUUUCUCCCAAAAGGGUUCACAUUGUGUAUUAUACAACAUUAAAGAGUCAAAAAAACCUGAUAAUUGUUUUGAAUCAAGGUAACUUAAGGAUGAUUAUAAGUAUUGCUUUCACACGGAGUAAAAAGUACUGGUAUGUCAACUAAUUAUCCUAACAAAACAAAUUUUUUAUCCAUUACCUGAUGACAACUGUUAUUUUGCUUCAUAAUAAAUUAGCAAGCACAAUAGAUGAAUGGAAGGUCCAAUGAUUCAUGUGGGUAUCUGAAACAUGACUUCUUAUGAUUCUUAGAAAUUCACCUACGACAUGGAUGAAUCUUGGAUGAAUCAUCUUAAAGUGACCGGUGUAUGGUAAACAUCUAUGUACAGAUACCAUUCAUAGAACAACCAAGCAAUAUUUAAAGUCACUAAUAAAAAUGCCAAGCUAGUAUUGGGGGUUUAUGGACAAAAAAUGUAAAAAUAUGUGCUUGUGAAAUCUUGUUAAUCAAUAAACCAACUGCAUAAUUAUUCCAAACACAAACAAGUUCCUAUAUUUCUACAUAUACAUUGUCAAACAAAAUCAUAUGGCACCAGUUAAAAAAAAAAAGAGGAAAAUAUGAUUACAUAUCCGUCUAGGCACUUACAUAGGUUUGUCAAUUAUCUCCCCUUGCAACCGUUAAACAAAAGCUUUUUAACAGUGAGUUGGUCAUCUAGCUGCAGAAAAAUAAUACAUAAUAUUUAAAUUCUAUGUAUGGUUGUUGUUCAAAGUUCCUUUUGACUAAAACACUCACCACUUUGUCUGCUUUACAUGGGAGUAUUACAAGGUAUGUUACAUACUGUAAGACCCAGACAAUAUUCAAGUUUUAAUAUUAUUUUUUUGUAAGACACAAUCUUUCUGUUAAAAGAAAAAAAAAAGAUCCUAAAAAUGUUUAUAAAACCUGUAUACAAUAUUCUGUACACAUAUAUGUUAUCAGAACUGACAUAGUUGCAUAAAAUGGAUGGUAAUUUAUCAAUAAAAUAUACCUUAUAGAGAAACAAGAAUGUGUCCAAAGUACACGGAUGCCCCCCUCACACUAUCCUUUUCCAUGUUCCAUGGACCGUGAAGUUGGGUAAUAAUCUAAUUUGGCAUUAAAAUUAGAAAGAUUAUACUAUAGGGAACAUAUGUACUAAGUUUCAAGUUGAUUGGACUUCAAUUUCAUCAAAUACUACCUUGACCAAAAACUUUAACCUGAAACUCCCACUUUCAUUUUCUAUGUUCAGAGGACCGUGA